AACGAACGCUGGCGGCAGGCUUAACACAUGCAAGUCGAACGCAUGCCUUCGGGCAUGAGUGGCAGACGGGUGAGUAACGCGUGGGAACCUACCCCUUGGUACGGGAUAGCUCCGGGAAACUGGAGAUAAUACCGUAUGUGUCCUGAGGGACAAAGAUUCAUCGCCAAGGGAUGGGCCCGCGUCGGAUUAGCUAGUUGGUGGGGUAACGGCCUACCAAGGCGACGAUCCGUAGCUGGUCUAAGAGGAUGAUCAGCCACAUUGGGACUGAGACACGGCCCAAACACCGAGGGGUGGCGGGAGGGGGGAAUUGGGAACAGUGGGGGCAGGCCGGAGGCGUGCAGGGGGGGGGGGUGAUGAUGGCAUGUGUGUUGAAAAGCUCUUCCCGCGGGGACGGUAAAGACGGGACCGGGAGAAGAGGCCUCGGCUACUUCGGGACCAGAAGCGGCGUAAAGAGUCGGGGAGAACACGUCGAAAC
rnacentral:rRNA from 1 species